UAGGUACUUCCUCCGUCCGAAAAAGCUUGUCCCUCAAAUGGAUGUAUCUAGCACUAACUUGGUGCUAGAUACAUCCAUUUGAGGGACAAGCUUUUUCGGACGGAGGGAGUAGCAU
rnacentral:pre_miRNA from 1 species